AAAAACCGUUGAAAAAAAAAUUAAAAAAAAAAAAAGAAUAGGUGUGAACUAAAUGUCCAUUUCUAGGGCACUAACUGGUGAAUGAAUGACCUUCCUUCCUUCCUUCCUUCCUUCCUUCCUUCCUUCCUUCCUUCCUUCCAUCAUCCACCCAUCCAUCCACCCAUCAUCUACCUAUCCACUCAUCUACCACCCAUUCAGCCACUCUCCCAUCCAAGUUAUGGAGAAGAAAUAGAAGAUGAUGUUCAUAGCAAGAUGUUCACAGCAUCAUUGGAUGAAAAAAAAAAUGGUUACAAACUGGUUACAAAAGUUGGUUAUUGAGAUCUUGUGUGCUUUUUGUUUUCUUCUUACUUAACUAUGUUUCUCACCUUUUCUACAAUAAAGAUAUUAACAAGAAAAAAACAACCAUUUUUAAAACGAAACAGAUGUACUCUCCGAUUUGGGCAGCAUGGAACACUGACCAAGGGAGAUGUGUGUCUCUGCAGGAGGAAGCAGGGAGGGCCAGGGACACAGGGACCUCUCUAGGCCUUGCCUACAAGCCUGCGGUGGGCUCCUGCCCGGUACAAAUGAGGAUCUGGUGACCUUGAGGCCUUGCACAACUUGGGUUUCCCAGAUCAACCUAAGAUCCCGUUCAAGGAUUUUUUUUUUCCUCGGUGUCCUGCAGACCUAAAAAUGAGAGCUGUUGGCUUACAGCCCUUUGCACACUGAGAAUGUGGUCAGAGUCCUGUGUCUGAACCCAGCUCUGCCCCUGGCCAGCUAGCUGUGUGACUUUAAGAGAGUCCCCCAGGUUUUCUGAAUGGCAGCCUCCUUAUCUGUAAAGAGAGGGAAAUGGCACAUCUCUCAAAGUGUCAGCAGAGGGGCAGACGCACAGUAAGAAAAUAAAAGUAAAGGGACACUCUGGUGAGGGAGAUGAAACAAAUACUAGUUCACAGAAAAGGUGGCAGAGAAGAUGGUGUGGGGCCAGGCCAGGAGCAUCUAGGAGAAGAUUUCACAGGCCCCUCUUCUGCAGGGCAAAGUGUGGCACAGAGCUGGUGUUUGGAACUUGUCUACUACUUAAUGAAGACAUGGGAUGAAGAGGAGAAAGACAUGGGGCCUACACAUGCCUGGGGUGCCAGUAGCAGUCCCUUACCCCAACAGGUUGUGACAACCAGAAGCAUCUCCAGAGGUUUCCAAAUGUUCCCUGGGGAUAAAAUUUCCCCAGUUGAGAACCACAGGUCUAGAAGGAUGCUGGGAGCUCUCAAAGAUGGGGAAAUUGAUGUUCAAAAAGUCAGAUGACUAGAGAGCUGGAAAGUAGCAACAGGGAUUUUGGAUGUGAAAUGCCAUACGCAUUCUACUACCUCAGGCUGCGGAGUGGGGAGACAGAAAGCUCAAGAAUGGCUUGUGAGUCAAGUUUGGCAAGACAGCUUAGGAGAAUGCUCUCAUGCUGUUGUACCUUUCCUGCAAGACGGGACAGCGCAUCUGCCGUGCUCUGCAAACUGUGAGUCACUUACAACCAUCUUGGAGGUGACCGCUGUGACUGAGAGGUUUGCGGCAUGGUUUAGUAAGAGAUACAGGAGAGAAGGGACGAUUGAUUGGCCCUUGAUUCAUGUACUUAUUUAUGCCCUGACUUGUCUGAGAGAGCAUCGAAGGACAUAAGACAGCACUGCAGGGAGAGGCAUUGAUCGCCAAAUGUCUGUUCAUGUCUCUGUCCUGGAGACUUGAGCCCAGAGAUCUUGCCUUCUUCAUCUAUGCACUCAAUGGAUCUUACUGUGUGCCUAUUAGGUGCCAGGCAUUGGGCUAAGUGCUUAGCGUCUCAUGGUAAGCCCACGCUGACCUGCUCUCUACCUUCAUGGCAUUUAUAGUCUACUUGGGGAGAUAAUAUUAGCAAACACAAUACAAAACAGCAACACACACAUAUAUUAAAAGGUUUUAAGUACAGUGAAAGAAAAGGUAUCUCUUUUCUCUUGCCCUUAGCAUAAGAAGGCACAAACAUGGUUCUCAGUGAGCAUCUGUUGAGGGAAUAGGAGGGUGAAGGAGAACAGGAAUGUUGGGGCUACAGGAUGGACAUGUGGGGGGCUGUGCUGGGGACCUCCACCUUCCCUGCAUCCCUGCUUUAGCUGUCCUCCUGCAGCUUCUGGAACCCAUUCCUUCUGGCUGGGACUUUCUGAGCCUAGCUUCUGGGGGGGCUGUGGGAGUAGCCUUGGGCAGCUGGGGUCCUCUCCAGGGGUGCAGCCUGCCGCUGGAGGCCUGGCUUUGGCAAGCUCCAGUACAGCAGUUAUGAGAAGCUUUCCUGACAUAUUAACCCCCUAGGUCUUUGGGGUCUUGUUUACAGGUGCAUUCCCUGAAUGUUACCUGGCAUGAAACUGGCGCUCCACAGUUACUUGUGGAAUGAAUGAAGAAGUAAAUGAGUAGGCAGGUAAAUAGAGAAGGCUCCCAGUGUGUCCCAGUGUGUGGCACUGAGCUUUGCUCCUUGCCUGGCUGGCCCGUGGAGCCCUGUGGGCUAAAUGGCAACCAGGCUGAGAGGUGGAAAUUGCCUGCACCAGCCUUGCUCAGACAUCAGUCAAUUUCCUUCAAUAAAUAUUUAUGUUGGGACUUAAAUAUAUUCUGAGAGUCUGCUGUUGGAUGAGGCUGAGGCCGGCAAGAGAAGAGGGAAGCAGUGAGUGCCUUACCGCUAGUGUGUGCAUCAAAGUCCUGCUAUGCACACUCAUGGCCUGGCCAUGCUAGGCAAGGUGAUGGCUGACCAAGUCACAAAGGUGACUGGCUGACCAAGUACUGCUGGACAGUACAAGGAGAGCCGUGGAAUGGGCAGGUUAGGGGGCAGUAUCCUGGAGGGGUGGGUUCUAAUCAUGGGCAGAAGCCGACUGGUCAAAGGGAAGAGGAAGGGUCCUACAAAUCCAGGUUUGCAAGAGUAUCACAGAGAAGUCACAGUUAUGAAGUACCUCCUUUGUGUGUGUGGACGGAAGACCGAGGUUCAGGUCCUCAUGGCUGGGACACAUAGCUUUACAGACAACGAAAAGGGAAUGUAGGAAGAAGCCAAAUUUGACCCCAAGUCCACCUGAUUGAAAACCCACUCCUCUCCCGCUAUAGAUGUUGACAUAAUUCAAGUCUGUUAGAAAUUGGAAUGCUUUCAUUGUGUUUACUAAUCACUCAUGUAGCAAACUUAGUUCAUUUCUUCAAUAGUCCUUUCUAUUAAAUUCUGCACACUUAUUGAGCACUUAGCAUGGGCAAUUGACUGUAUAUUUUGUUUCAAGAGAAACACGUCCGAUGAAAGAGAGUAGCACACAGCACUGGGCUUGGGGCUGGGAGGGCUGGACUCCAGUAACGCUUCUGCUGUUAGGGGCUACUGCACCUUAUUCUCUCUAUGCUCCCGUUCCUAAGAUUCUACAGCUCUAUUUUAUUUCACUCUUAUGGAGAAUUGUUGUGCACCAAAGAGCUGACCUUGAAAGUUAUUUUUCCUGGGUUUAUUGGUGAGGUAAUGUAGACUUGGAGACUGAGAUCUUUCUUCUAUUUUCGGCUGGAUCUUAUUUGAGAUUUCCUUGGAUUGGUUUCAUUUUCUUGUUAGCAAUUCAUUAUUACAUUUUUAAUAAUCGUCAGCUAGACUCACCAACUGAAUGUUUAUUAAAUGAUUUUGCUCCAAGCCAGUGACUCUGGUAGAUCCAUCAGAGUAGUCCUGGAUGUUGGGAUCUUAGAAAUUGAAACUGUAGGUGUACCUGUAGGACAUAUCCCAGACUGAUGUGUGAUCUAGUCCCCCCAAAUUCUCACUGCAGCUGGAACUGGGGAGUGUGAGGCUGAAGGCUGAUGCUGAGCCCCGUCAAGAUUCCUGGACCACCUCAGGACAGAGGGGAGACUCUCUGAAUAAGUGGGUGCUUCUCCAUCUAAAGCUGCAUGAGGAUACAUGAGUGUGGGAACCCCACCCCCAGCUGCGGAUAGCCUGUAUUCUGACAGCUGUCCUUUCAGAAAGCUCUGUAGGGCAUGGAGGGAAGUCCCAGUGAAUCCAAUGCCUUUUGGUGUGGUACCAGACAGUGCCAGUGUUUUUUCUUCCUGCUAUCUCAUCUCCUUUGCUAGCUAGAAUCUCUAGGGACUGGCUCCCACGACCAAAAGCUCAGGUCUGCGUCCUCUGCAUCUAACACAAGUAAGUUGCUAGGUAUGUUUUUGUUGAAUUGGGCUGAAUUAAACUCUGAAAGUUCAGAGGCUAUGGACUGUUUCCCCUCCCAUCCUAACACUUGAGAAGAAGCCCUUAUCGGUCUGAAAAUUAUGAUAGACUCAUGCAGAAUUUAUGUCUGGGGUAGGGAAGUCAGAUGCCUGCAGGAACCAGAUGGGUCACACAAAGGCAUAAAGUGACCUGGGGGAAAGUAGUGUGGAAUAGUGGGGCUUGUGGCCAAGCAGAGUUGACAUGCUCAGUCUAAAGGCAGUCCAUUUGAAUUUCUAAAAAUGUUCUGUUGGCCAAAUAAAAUACCCCUGAUCCAGCUUAAAGGCCUUUGGUUUAGGUUUUCUGGGGUGUGCUGGGUGAAGCUCAAAAACCUGACAAUGGCAGACCGGCAGAUAGGUAGGAUGAAGAACCUUGGAAAAGCUCUCCCAGGGUGGUCCUGCUUUCGCCCAAGUUAAAUACAAGCCAACUUCCAAUAACCAGCUGUGAUGGCCACAGGACAAAGUAUAUUCCCACGUGGUUCCCAGGGAGUCUUACAGCUCAGCUCAAAGUUGCCUAAUCCUGGAAACACCCAGAAAAGGAGUGUGCCAUCUAUUAAGUACUCA